AAACUAAGACGUUAAAAAAGAGAAAAAAAGAGAGAGAAAUAUAUAUCUCAUCAACUCAUGACAACUCAUACUCAUACUCUUCUUUCUUUUUUACUUUUACCUUCUUUCUUUGCUUCU
rnacentral:ribozyme from 13 species